rnacentral:lncRNA from 1 species
UUCAUCCAGCACUGUUUCAGAGAAAUCUCUAUUUCAAUAUAUUCCUAUAUGUUAGUUAUUGAAAAACAACAGGCAAUCGCAAAAACAAGUUGAUCUUUUUGUGUUGCUGAAGACCAGUCAUGAAGGGCUCUCAUGACUGGGCCUCAUGCCAAACAACUCAUUACGAAAAGAGCUAGGGGUCCAGACCAUGCCGAAGCUUCAUGAGACCUCUCCUUAUCUGUUCACGGACGAGUGGCCGACACUGGAGCCCAGGCCGAUGCUUCCCAGUCUGGUCAUGAAUCCUCCUUAGUCUGAGUCAGACCUGAGGACCCAGCCAGCUUCAGGUGCAGCGGAUAUGUGGCAUCCAGCACAAGCCUUCCCUGCAGCCGUCAGUGCUGCUGUUUUCCAGAUGUGCGCCCAUUCACUGCGUGCCAGUGCUGCUGCUGCAAAUUUGGAAGUUUACACGUGCAUCACGAAGUAAAAAUGACUAGGAAACUCCAACACAAGCCAUUACAUAAAAGCUGA